rnacentral:rRNA from 1 species
AGUUUGAUCCUGGCUCAGAUUGAACGCUGGCGGAAUGCUUUACACAUGCAAGUCGAACGGCAGCACGGACUUCGGUCUGGUGGCGAGUGGCGAACGGGUGAGUAACAUAUCGGAACGUAUCCAAUAAUGGGGGAUAACUAAUCGAAAGGUUGGCUAAUACCGCAUACGCCCUACGGGGGAAAGCUAGGGACCUUCGGGCCUGGCGUUAAUGGAGCGGCCGAUAUCUGAUUAGCUAGUUGGUGGGGUAAAGGCCCACCAAGGCGACGAUCAGUAGCUGGUCUGAGAGGACGACCAGCCACACUGGAACUGAGACACGGUCCAGACUCCUACGGGAGGCAGCAGUGGGGAAUUUUGGACAAUGGGCGCAAGCCUGAUCCAGCCAUUCCGCGUGAGUGAAGAAGGCCUUCGGGUUGUAAAGCUCUUUCGCAAGGGAAGAAAACUUAGGCUCUAACAUAGCCUGAGGUUGACGGUACCUUGAUAAGAAGCACCGGCUAACUACGUGCCAGCAGCCGCGGUAAUACGUAGGGUGCGAGCGUUAAUCGGAAUUACUGGGCGUAAAGCGUGCGCAGGCGGUUUUGUAAGUCAGAUGUGAAAUCCCCGAGCUCAACUUGGGAACUGCGUUUGAAACUACAAGACUAGAAUAUGUCAGAGGGGGGUAGAAUUCCACGUGUAGCAGCGAAAUGCGUAGAGAUGUGGAGGAAUACCAAUGGCGAAGGCAGCCCCCUGGGAUAAUAUUGACGCUCAUGCACGAAAGCGUGGGGAGCAAACAGGAUUAGAUACCCUGGUAGUCCACGCCCUAAACGAUGUCUACUAGUUGUUGGUGGAGUAAAAUCCAUGAGUAACGCAGCUAACGCGUGAAGUAGACCGCCUGGGGAGUACGGUCGCAAGAUUAAAACUCAAAGGAAUUGACGGGGCCCGCACAAGCGGUGGAUUAUGUGGAUUAAUUCGAUGCAACGCGAAAACCUUACCUGGCCUUGACAUGUAACGAACUUUCCAGAGAUGGAUUGGUGCUCGAAGAGACGUUACCACAGUGCUGCAUGCUGUCGUCAGCUCGUGUCGUGAGAUGUGGGUAGUCCGCACGAGCGCAUCGUGCAUAUGCAUCAUUAGUGGGCACUAUGGACUGCGGUGACAACGAGAGUGGAUGACGUCAGUCUCAUGCGUUAUGGGCCAGGCUUCACACGGUUAUAUACACA